rnacentral:misc_RNA from 1 species
GAUGAAGAACGCAGCGAAAUGCGAUACUUGGGGUGAAUUGCAGAAUCCCGUGAACCAUCGAGUCUUUGAACGCAAGUUGCGCCUCAAGCCAUUAGGUUGAGGGCACGUCUGCCUGGGCGUCACAUAUCGUUGCCUGAUGCCAGUUUCCUCGUGAUGGGUGACUGUGCAGGGCGAAUGAUGGCUUCCCGUGAGCAUUGUUGCCUCAUGGUUGGUUGAAAAUUGAGUCCUUGGUAGGGAGCGCCGUGAUAGAUGGUGGUUGAGUGACGAACGAGACCCAAUCAUGUGAGACCCCUACCGAAUUUGGCCUUCAUGACCCACAUGCGUCUUUGGAACGCUCAUGACGAGACCUCAGGCCAGGCGGGUCUACCCGCUGAGUUUAAGCAUAUCAAUAAGCGGAGGA